rnacentral:rRNA from 1 species
ACGGAAGGCAGCAGUGGGGAAUAUUGCACAAUGGGGGAAACCCUGAUGCAGCAACGCCGCGUGAAGGAUGAAGGUCUUCGGAUCGUAAACUUCCGUCCUUGGGGACGAAUAAAUGACGGUACCCUUGGAGGAAGCCCCGGCUAACUACGUGCCAGCAGCCGCGGUAAUACGUAGGGGGCAAGCGUUAUCCGGAAUUAUUGGGCGUAAAGGGUGCGUAGGCGGUUUCUUAAGCAAGGGGUGAAAGGCAUCGGCUUAACCGGUGUUAGCCCUUUGAACUGGGAGACUUGAGUGCAGGAGGGGAAAGCGGAAUUCCUAGUGUAGCGGUGAAAUGCGUAGAUAUUAGGAGGAACACCAGUGGCGAAGGCGGCUUACUGGACGAUAACUGACGUUGAGGCUCGAAAGCGUGGGGAGCAAACAGGAUUAGAUACCCUGGUA